rnacentral:rRNA from 1 species
UACGUAGGGGGCAAGCGUUGUCCGGAAUUAUUGGGCGUAAAGGGUGCGUAGGCGGUUCGGCAAGUUUCGUGUGAAAUCUUCGGGCUCAACUCGAAGUCUGCACGAGAUACUGCCGGGCUUGAGUGUGGGAGAGGUGAGUGGAAUUUCCGGUGUAGCGGUGAAAUGCGUAGAUAUCGGAAGGAACACCUGUGGCGAAAGCGGCUCACUGGACCAUAACUGACGCUGAGGCACGAAAGCUAGGGGAGCAAACAGG